UACGUAGGGCGCAAGCGUUAUCCGGAAUUAUUGGGCGUAAAGAGCUCGUAGGCGGUUUGUCGCGUCUGCCGUGAAAGUCCGGGGCUCAACCUCGGGCCUGCAGUGGGUACGGGCAGACUAGAGUGCGGUAGGGGAGAUUGGAAUUCCAGGUGUAGCGGUGAAAUGCGUAGAGAUCUGGAGGAACACCGAUGGCGAAGGCAGGUCUCUGGGCUGACACUGACGCUCAUGCACGAAAAGCGUGGGGAGCAAACAGG
rnacentral:rRNA from 1 species